rnacentral:rRNA from 1 species
UACGGGGGGGGCAAGCGUUGUUCGGAAUUACUGGGCGUAAAGGGCUCGUAGGCGGCCAACUAAGUCGGACGUGAAAUCCCCAGGCUCAACUUGGGAACUGCGUCCGAUACUGGAUGGCUUGAAUUCGGGAGAGGGAUGCAGAAUUCCAGGUGUAGCGGUGAAAUGCGUAGAUAUCUGGAGGAAUACCGGUGGCGAAGGCGGCAGCCUGGACCGACAUUGACGCUGAUGAGCGAAAGCCAGGGGAGCAAACGGG